rnacentral:rRNA from 1 species
AGAGUUUGAUCCUGGCUCAGGAUGAACGCUGGCGGCGUGCCUAAUACAUGCAAGUCGAGCGAACAGACGAGGAGCUUGCUCCUCUGACGUUAGCGGCGGACGGGUGAGUAACACGUGGAUAACCUACCUAUAAGACUGGGAUAACUUCGGGAAACCGGAGCUAAUACCGGAUAAUAUAUUGAACCGCAUGGUUCAAUAGUGAAAGACGGUUUUGCUGUCACUUAUAGAUGGAUCCGCGCCGCAUUAGCUAGUUGGUAAGGUAACGGCUUACCAAGGCAACGAUGCGUAGCCGACCUGAGAGGGUGAUCGGCCACACUGGAACUGAGACACGGUCCAGACUCCUACGGGAGGCAGCAGUAGGGAAUCUUCCGCAAUGGGCGAAAGCCUGACGGAGCAACGCCGCGUGAGUGAUGAAGGUCUUCGGAUCGUAAAACUCUGUUAUUAGGGAAGAACAAAUGUGUAAGUAACUAUGCACGUCUUGACGGUACCUAAUCAGAAAGCCACGGCUAACUACGUGCCAGCAGCCGCGGUAAUACGUCGGUGGCAAGCGUUAUCCGGAAUUAUUGGGCGUAAAGCGCGCGUAGGCGGUUUUUUAAGUCUGAUGUGAAAGCCCACGGCUCAACCGUGGAGGGUCAUUGGAAACUGGAAAACUUGAGUGCAUAAGAGGAAAGUGGAAUUCCAUGUGUAGCGGUGAAAUGCGCAGAGAUAUGGAGGAACACCAGUGGCGAAUGCGACUUUCUGGCCUGUAACUGACGCUGAUGUGCGAAAGCGUGGGAUCAACAGGAUUAGAUACCCUGGUAAUCCACGACGUAAACGAUGAGUGCUAGUGUUAGGGGGAUUCCGCCCCUUUGUGCUGCAGCUAAC